AAACUUAGGAUAAUCUAAANCCAAGGGCCUUCAAAGCCCUAAAUAAGGGC
rnacentral:tRNA from 1 species